rnacentral:lncRNA from 1 species
CUCCAGGUAAAGAGACAUCCCAGACAGUCCUCACUAGAAGCAUUAUCUGAAAGGUCCUUCGUAGCCUGGAGUUAGUAAACUGAAUUGUUCUUCACGUCAUUCUCCAGGGAAGGAUGUCGAUCUCACAAGUGUCACUCUCAAUGCAGCAGGAGUGAAGAAGCCAAGAACUCAGUAAACACUGAGCUUGUUUUGCCAGUUAGAGAACACAAGAAAGAAAACCAUGGGAGCAAGAGGAAU